rnacentral:snRNA from 1 species
GGAUGUGAGGGCAAUCUGGCUGCGACAUCUGUUACCCCACUGAUCACCAGGGUUGAUUUGGCUGAUCUGGCUGGCUAAGCAGGUGUCCCCUUCCUCCCUCACCCACUCGGUGGAAGAGGGCGGCCUUCCCUGAAUAGAGACAGGCCGGUCUUCCAGUCCGAGGGUAUAUGAGUAGCUGCGCUCCCCUGCUAGAACAUCCAAACAAGCUCUCAAGAAUAUUCUGCAACUUCCUUUUUUUUUUUUUUAAUUGAGGUGAACUAUCUAAGUUUGAAGGGUAAAUUCCCCACCUCUUCAAAGCACAUGUGUGGAGUAGAU